rnacentral:rRNA from 1 species
CAGCAGCCGCGGUAAGACGUGGGGGGCGAGCGUUGUCCGGAAUUAUUGGGCGUAAAGGGCGUGUAGGCGGCCUGUCAAGUCAGCUGUGAAAUCCCCCGGCUCAACUGGGGGUUUGCAGUUGAAACUGGUGGGCUUGAGUGCAGGAGAGGAGGGUGGAAUUCCUGGUGUAGCGGUGAAAUGCGUAGAUAUCAGGAGGAACACCGGUGGCGAAGGCGACCUUCUGGCCUGUUACUGACGCUGAGGCGCGAAAGCUAGGGUAGCGAACAGGAUUAGAUACCCUGGUAGUCCUAGCUGUAAACGCUGGGUACUAGGUGUAGGGGGUUUAGAUACCUUCUGUGCCGUAGUUAACGCAUUAAGUACCCCGCCUGGGGAGUACGAUCGCAAGGUUGAAACUCAAAGGAAUUGACGGGGGCCCGCACAAGCGGUGGAGCAUGUGGUUUAAUUCGAAGCAACGCGAAGAACCUUACCAGGGCUUGACAUCUACCGGAAGACUUGUGGAGACAUAAGUUGUUCUUCGGAACUGGUAGACAGGUGGUGCAUGGCC